GUGAAUCACUCUGUUUUUCUGUAUUGGGCCUCCACAGCAGAGCUGCCGUAAGCAUCUGCACGACUAGCCCUUUCAUUCCCAUGGCACAGGAUCACAGGAGUGAACCCUCUCUUCCAAACCAGCGUGCACAUAGUAGACAGCUCCUUGGGACCUGUGUCUGAUCAGAGCCCACAGUUCAGCAGGAGGGAUCUUCCAGCCAAGAUCUAAAGAACCAUCAUCAACUCACAGCUUAGUCAUGAAGUUCAAGAACUGAAACCCAGAGAAUUGUCCAUAUAAAUGAAGAUACUUAACUUGUGCAACAUGACAGAAAACAAAAUGUUUCUAAUGGAUGAAUCAUAACAUAAUAGGGACCAUCCCACAAAAAAGCUUCACACUCUUUUUAACAUACAAUUUUAAACCAAUUUAAUAAGCACAAAAGAGUUCAGCUAAUGUUGGAUUUAGGAGAAGAAAUAAUUUACAAUCAGGUCGUUCACUGGAAUUUGACUCUACAUUUCAGUGGUCCUCAACCUUGACCAUGCAUCAGAAUCACCUGCGAGGCUUUGUAAAAACACCUGCUGAGUCAGGACCUGUGAAGGUGCAGCCUGCACUUCUUUGUCUGGAGAAAAAAAAAAAAAAUGAAAAGCUCCACAAAUGAUUCAAAUGCACGAGCCAGGUUUAGAAUUCUGAUAUAAGCAAUUCAUAAAUAGUCUUUCAGUCAACUUUCUCUGAGAGGAAUUAGUUAGCAUAUUGCUACACAAAUGUAAAAACAAAAGUGUGCCCCGAUAAGGAGAAUUUGACCACUUCUAAGAAGAGUUACCUCAAUUUCAUUGCUCCACAAAACAGCUGUAAUUCUACAAUCUGUACACCUCUAGGCUACCCCACAUUCAGCAGCUGCGAUGAAUUCCAAGCAUAUUUCCAAUGCAAACCAACCCAACCUUUGAAUCUAAAUCCCUCCAAGUUU